AGCUUUGAGGGUGAUCUGGCUGCUGACAUCUGUUAAGACACUGAUCAUCAAGAUUGAUUGGCUGAUUUGGCUGGCUACAUGGGUAUUCCUUCCUGCCUCACCAUUCCAUGUGUGUCCUUCCUGAAAUUUCCUGCUUGGUGGAAGAGGACAACCUUCUCCAAUAGAGGAGGACAGUUAUUUUGUCAAGGUUAUGGAGUAGCUGCUAGAACUUCCAAACAAGUUGUCAAGGUCAAUAUUAAAGGUUUUUCUUCAAACAUGCAAUGAUUCAUGGUUAUCUGUUCUAUUU
rnacentral:snRNA from 1 species